rnacentral:rRNA from 2 species
AACGUUGCCAACUGUCUUUUAGAUGCGGUUACAUUUAUGACUCAUCUGGCGGAUCUCGAGAAAUCUAGGUUUUUAGGUUCCGGGGGAAGUAUGGUUGCAAAGCUGAAACUUAAAAGAAUUGACGGAAGGACACACAAGAAGUGGAGCCUGUGGCCUAAUUUGACUCAACACGGGGAACCUUACUCGGCCAGGACACUUUUAGGAUUGACAGAUUGAGAGCUCUUUCUUGAUUAGGUGGGUGGUGGUGCAUGGUCGUUCGUAGUUCGUGGAGCGAUUUGUCUGAUUAAUUUCGAUAACGAACGAGACUCCGGCUUACUAAAUAGUCUAAAGUUCGCAGGGACUUUCCAAGACUUCUUAGCAGGAUAAGUGGCACUUUUUAAGCCACACGAAAUGGAGCAAUAACAGGUCUGUGAUGCCCUUAGAUGUCCGAGGCUGCACGCGCGCUACACUGGAGAGUUCAGAAUGUUUCUUCCUACUUCGACAGAAGUGGGUAACCAUGAAAUUCUCUUCGUGACUGGGAUCGGAGCUUGCAAUUAUUCUCCGUCAACGAGGAAUUCCUAGUAAGCACUAUUUCAUCAGAAUGUGCUGAUUAUGUCCCUGUCCUUUGUACACACCGCCCGUCGCUACUACCGAUUGAAUGUUUUAGUGAGAUCUUCGGCUUGGUUUUCCGAGCGGCUCUCGGGUCGUUCGGUAUAUAUCGAAAAGAUGCUCAAACUGGAUCA